AUGAAGAUGAGAUACUUCCGGAAUGUAAACGAUGCAUUUCCCCACGUAACAUAAAUACAAAAAUUUAAUAAGACUGCAGUUAUACCAUGUCGGAAACAAACUACCAUGGCAGUUUACUUCCAAAACACGCAAUAUAUCAUUCAUCGGGUUUGUCUGUGUAUUUGAUUCUGCUGGUAGCUGCCAAGUUUCUGCGAGCUGUAGGUCUCUUUGUCUCCUAUGACUUACUCAAAGUCAUACCAGUUGUACAGUUCCUGUUCCUCAUUAAGUUCUGGAGUUCCCUGCCCUUGCUAGUUCUUCAGAAACCAUUUUCCUCUGGAAAGAGAUUAAGUAAUAAUCAGUACUUUCGUAUUUUCCGCCAUGCCUUCAUUGGUGCAUUCAUUGGUUUGCUGUGGCUCUUUGGCCUCACUCUCUGUGGUCCUCUGAGGACCAUCCUUCUAUUUGAACACAGCGAUCUUGUGAUAAUUGCUGGUGCCAGUGCCCUCUUCACAAACAAUGGGGGAGGACCAGCAAAGACGAGAGGUGCCAUAUUUUUCCUGGUUGCAGUGAUCACUCUGCUUCUGUUUGACCAUGAUGAGAAGUUAGAUCACUUGGGUGACCAUGAACGUAUCCUUUGUUGUGUACUAAACUUCUCUUAUACAAAUAUUGAUGACAUUACAGCUGUUAAUAGGUGGUUAAAAUAAAAUUGAUAACUUUAACAAGGAAUUUUCCAUGUUCAUAAGUUGAUUGGAAAGAGACAUUUUCUUUAACAGAGGCUACAGCAAAGGACAAGCAUCAUUCAAUAUUUUCACAUCUGUUUUAUCACACAGUCAAUUUCAUUGGCUGGUCGGACCACAAGGGAGGAGUGGUUCUGCUUGCCAUAACUCUGUGUAUGCAGGUGGGGUAUAACAGUGCCUCUCGUAAACUGUCCGUAGAUGUGGGUGGGGCAAAGAAGCUUCAUGCCCUCUCUUCACUAGUCCAGGCCACAGUUCUCUUCCCCUGGGCAACCUUCAUUUAUUUUACGAAAGAGUCUGAGGUGGAGUCUUGGUUGUAUUUAGUCAUACCCAUGGGAUUGGUGAUUCUGUUUGUGUUUCUGCUAGACUUUUACAUUGAGGCGGUAGCCUCUAACCAUCUACAAGGUCCCCGCACUGCUGUGUAUGGAACGUAUGCUAUAUUUAUCAGUGCUCUGUUGCUAGGAGUAACAUGGAACCAUCCGAUGGUGUCAUGGAUCACCACGGUAACCAAAGACAUCAUCACAGAAGACCAUGUCUUGUCAGGGGGCGUUAUCUUUAGCUUGAUGACAUUCAUUUUAGCCACCAGUAUGUUAGGAUGGCCUGGCCGCAGUAGUAAGGCGGGUAGUUUUAUUGGAUACUCACCGUCUGGUCAACCUCUAUACAGCUUUAACACUGACGCCUUCGCGCGAACCUCACACUCCAUAGCCACUGUGAUGAAAAACGGUUUGAGGCAGAUCCUAGAAGAGUCAGACUCCAGAAAAAUAUUUUAUUUCUUGUGCAUUAACUUGAUGUUCACUUUUGUGGAGUUGAUUUAUGGGGUAUGGACUAACAGUCUGGGUCUGAUCUCUGACGGAUUCCACAUGCUGUUUGACUGCUCAGCUCUAGUGAUGGGACUUUAUGCUGCAAUCAUGAGUAGAUGGAAACCUACUCGGAUAUUUUCAUAUGGCUAUGACAGAGUGGAAGUUCUCUCUGGCUUCAUCAAUGGAUUGUUUCUGGUAGUUAUUGGUAUCUUUGUCUUCACGGAGGCCCUUGGGCGAUUAGUGGAACCCCCUGUAGUAUCCACAGAGAGACUUCUGACUGUGUCAGUAUUAGGGUUGCUAGUCAAUUUAUUUGGAAUUGUUGCAUUCCGAAGUUCACAUUCUCAUGGGCACGGAGGUCACGGACACAGUCAUGGUGGAGGUCAUGGUCAUAGUCAUGGCGGAGGUCAUAACCAUGGACACAGUCAUGGAGGUGAAGGUCAUCAGGACAGAAACGCAAACAUGGAAGGUGUAUUUCUACAUGUCUUGGCGGAUACUCUGGGCAGUGUUGGGGUCAUAAUAUCCUCACUCCUGAUAGAGAAUUUUGGUUGGAACAUCGCAGACCCCAUCUGCUCUCUGUUCAUUGCCACCAUGAUUCUCCUGAGUGUGUUUCCUUUACUGAGGGAAACCUCCACUAUCCUCCUACUGCGUACACCGUCCGAUCUAGAGACGGAGAUCCCAGACGUACUACAGAAGAUUAUGUCCCUUGAUGGAGUAUUAACCUAUCGACAUCCACACAUCUGGAACCAUACCUCCUCAAAGAUCCAUGGUACUCUGCAUGUACAGGUGUCUACAGAAGUCAGUGAACAAAAGAUUGUAGCUCAGGUAACCAACAUAUUAAAAGAACACAGUGUGUCAAACUUAGUGGUUCAGGUAGAGAAGGAGACAUAUUUCUAUCACCUGUCCGGACUCGGUGCUAGUUUUGAUCAAAUGACAGACUUUGGAACAAAACGUGAACAGUUCACAGUGGAGUCAAUCAAAGCCAUAUGAGUAAGCCAUACCAUGAAAUCAUUGGGAGAAACCGCAUGAUAAACUAAGAAGACAUUGAAGCAUAAGAAACCCAGAGUCAUGAGCCACAUACAUGUAGAGCAGAACAAAUGAUUGGGAGUAUUGAGUGAGUGGAUCAAAGUGAGUCAGACAUUUUGGUGAGAGGGUUGUCAGCUUUGUACUAUCAACACAUUGUGAUAUGCUGUAUUUUCUUGUUUUUUUUUUAUUUUUGCCACUCUUGUUAUUCUUUUAUUAUAAUAAGGAAGUGGCAAUUUCAAAUAAAACAUUUCAAU
rnacentral:misc_RNA from 1 species